rnacentral:rRNA from 1 species
AUUGAACGCCGGCGGCAGGCCUAACACAUGCAAGUCGAGCGGAUGAAGGGAGCUUGCUCCUGGAUUCAGCGGCGGACGGGUGAGUAAUGCCUAGGAAUCUGCCUGGUAGUGGGGGAUAACGUCCGGAAACGGGCGCUAAUACCGCAUACGUCCUGAGGGAGAAGGUGGGGGAUCUUCGGACCUCACGCUAUCAGAUGAGCCUAGGUCGGAUUAGCUAGUUGGUGGGGUAAAGGCCUACCAAGGCGACGAUCCGUAACUGGUCUGAGAGGAUGAUCAGUCACACUGGAACUGAGACACGGUCCAGACUCCUACGGGAGGCAGCAGUGGGGAAUAUUGGACAAUGGGCGAAAGCCUGAUCCAGCCAUGCCGCGUGUGUGAAGAAGGUCUUCGGAUUGUAAAGCACUUUAAGUUGGGAGGAAGGGCAGUAAGUUAAUACCUUGCUGUUUUGACGUUACCAACAGAAUAAGCACCGGCUAACUUCGUG